UACGUAGGGUGCGAGCGUUGUCCGGAAUUACUGGGCGUAAAGAGCUCGUAGGUGGUUUGUCGCGUUGUCCGUGAAAACUCACAACUCAAUUGUGGGCGUGCGGGCGAUACGGGCAGACUGGAGUACUGCAGGGGAGACUGGAAUUCCUGGUGUAGCGGUGGAAUGCGCAGAUAUCAGGAGGAACACCGGUGGCGAAGGCAGGUCUCUGGGCCGAUACUGACGCUGAGACGCGAAAGCGUGGGGAGCAAACAGG
rnacentral:rRNA from 1 species